CGACAGCAAGCCAGUGUGGGCUGGAGGACGUGCCUGCUUUCCAUUCGUCUUCCACCACGAUUCUAAGUUUCCUGAGGCCUCCCCAGCCAUGCCUCCUGGACAGCCUGCAGAACCAGAGCCAGGAACGAUGCUAAAGCUUCCUGAUUCGUGACCCUGGCUAAGCAAAUGUAACGGCCCCAUUGACUCGCAGCCAUUGGAGAACUGAGCUUAAGAAUCUUUUGGCGGUCUGGAAACUUGGAAAAAGAAAGGGGCAACGUAUCCCACUUGAGCCAAGGCCAUACUUUCCCGGCUGCUCAGAAGACAUUUCUCUGUCUCCCCUGCUCUUCCCCAUCUUGAAUGUGGAUGUCCUGGCUGGGAACACAGCAGCCAACUCGUGAGUGUGGGUAACAAGCAGGGACAAAAGACCACCAGAGUCACAGAGACGCAGCUGCGGUGACACCGAGAUCCACUCGGCUCUCUUCUCUUCUGCGUCCUGCUCUAUGGCCUGGGAAGCUGAUCUCCAAGGAUCGCAUUCCUAGGGCUCUCUGGCCCAUGGGCUUCCCGUUGGGUUUGCCCAAUGGACAGCCAUGGCAGAAGAUCAAAGGGAAGAUGGCAGGAAGCUGUCCCCCACUCCUCGCCUGGCUGAGUUCUGGCGAUGGCUGCCAUCCAGGGUCCUGAGUCCCACCAGUUUUUACCCCUUGAAGUGAGAAAGAACACGUCUACAACCCUCCCUCAUUCCAGAGGCUGUGUUUUUGCCCUUUGGUCAUGCAGAUGGGGCUAAAGCGAAGUUACAACAUUGGAAAAUGUCUUCUUAACGUCACACUGAUCUCCUUAAGGCAACGAGCCCCACAUGCUCUCUGAGGCCUGUGCACGUGUUCUGAGGACCCAGUUAUGUGCUGCGUGAUUCCAGAGGUGAACAGACCCUCACAGAUCACCUCUCCUCACCCUCUCAUGAGAGGGAAACUGAGGCUCAGGGGGAGAAUUGGCAAAGGUUACACUUGGUGGUGGGUUUGGAAUCUGCCCUGUGGACGCCCGACUAACCAUUUCUGCCAGAUGCGCGUGGGAAGUAAAAUGGGAAGAGGUGCUCCAUAGGAGGAGGGGACGUGGGUACAGUCACGUGGACCCGUGAGCCGGUCACCUGCGAGGCACCAGGGCCUACAGGAAAGGUGCCCGCUGUCGGCUUCCGCAGGGAAUUUCGUUAUCUUUGUGAGGUAGGGUGGAACUUGCAUCCUGAACAUUAAAGUUUACAUGCCAAGGAGGGCGGUGGAGUCCUUGGAACUUCCUGCCUCCCCCUGAGGCUGCCUCCCCAUGCGAUUGACCUGGUCUGGCUGGGCCUGAUGCUGGGCUCAAAGAGAACACAGGUCUCACCCUCCUAUGUGGCGUGUGGUGAAGACUAAGGAGGUCCCCAGGACCCUGAGGGUUGCCCUUGGGUGCAUUGGAGUAGAGGCCAGGGAAGUCCAUGUCCUUUCCGAGCCAGGCCUUGCCGCCGAGGUACAGCCACAGUGUCCCCCUUCCAGCUGCAGAGCCGCUGCUUCCUCAUCUGUCAGGUGGGAACAACGACCCCCACUCUGUGCACCUCACUGGCAGUAGCGAGCACGAAGUGUGAGGGUGGACUCUGCAAGGUGGAAGCCAUGUCCCUGCAGGUUGCAUCUGUGCUGCCUGCCCUGCUGAGGGACGGGAACAGCAGCAUAGCCUUCGGUACCACGUACCUUGUUUGUCAAAACUGGACCUGCCACAGCGCGGUGGCCCUUCUCCUGGGGAAACACACUGUGCCCCAGGAGGUGUGUGGACAAACACCUUCACAGCACUGAUGCUGAGACAGCCAGAGCCCAGAAACGCCCAGCCGCCCCCGGUAGGAAAAUGAAUAAGUAAAUUGGGGCAAUUGGAGAUUGUGAUGUCUCUCUUGCUGAAGACCACCUGGCUGGAUUUGCUGGGGUGGGACCCAGACCGGGACGUUUUCAUACACACAAAACGGGCUGUGCCAGGUGGCCUUCUCCAGGGCACGGUGGGUGGGGGAGUCUCAGGCUGCCACGUGCCUGGCAGGCUUGGGACGAGGUGAAGGGAGGUGAGUGUUCGUGGGGAUGCUGGGACCCCAUUCGGGCCAGGUCAAUCACAUGGGGAGAUACAGUAUCAACAGUAAAGGAUCUUUAGAUAUGUAAACACACAGAUAAGUGGCCGGUGUAAUGUGCAGAAAAUGCUAAACAACAGAAUGCAAUAAUACAAAGUUCCAAAGCAGGCAACCCUAAACUCCAUGUUC
rnacentral:lncRNA from 1 species